GUCUAGGGCCAUGCUACCCUGAACAAGCCCAAUUACAUCUGAUCUCGGAAGCUAAGGAGGGGUGGGCCUGGUUAGUAUUUGAAUGGGAAACCACCUAGGAAGACCAGGUACUGUAGGUG
rnacentral:rRNA from 1 species